AAUAGUUCGGACCCAAGUGCAGAGUUAGUUCAAAAGGUUUAUUCAACAGAAGAAAACAACUCCCAACAAAAAACUUCCCGUCAUACGGUGGAAACUGAACAAAAGGCAGACCCUCGGUCACAAAACAGAAAAUGGCAAAAGGCUGACAAACCAGAAACACAGUCCAAAGAGUAAUCCAUAGGCAGCAAAGGUCAGGUCCGAGAAGCAGUCCAAAAGGCACAGACAGGCAGAUAAUC